AGGCCGAAGGCUGAAUGGCCAAGGAGAGACCUCUGUAGUGUCUACGAAGACCAUUUCCAGCUCCCCCCUCUCCGGCAUCGCGGCCCCCGGGCUUUGAUCCCAUCCAGCACCGGUGCAGUAGGCCCAGAGUGGUGCUGACAGCUGGCCGACCAUAACGUCACUGCACUCGCCUUCUGCAACAUGUCCAGUGUUGUCACAGAAUCUCCACGGAAA
rnacentral:lncRNA from 1 species